AUUGCUUGUUGGCCUUUUGGCCAAGAUCAAGUGUAGAGAUCUGUUCUUAUCAGUUUAAUAUCUGAUUGGUCCUCUGAGGACCACAUAUUAAAUGGAUUUUUGGAGCAGGAGAUGAAAUAGGAGCUUGCUCCACUCAUGCUGCGCAUUGAGCCGGCAUUGCAGUACCUCUGGGAAAGGCGCACUCACU